CAUCAUUUUAAAACACCACCUUCCAUAUGAUCACCGAAGUUAAGUAACAUUGAGCCUAGUCAGUACCUGGAUGGGUGACUGCUUGGAAAUACUACGUGCUGUAAG